AUGUAAAAGUGUUCUGUACAUAAGCAAAUGAGAGAUUCGAUCAGUGUGCCUGAAACCUUACUACAAGGGACCUUCAGGCUUUCUCUUUAAAAAAAAAAAUACAGAUCCCACAACAGCUCUGUCAUCAUCACAGCACUUGACAAGCUAAAUAAACUUCAAAUAAAUAAAGGAUGCACGUUUAAAACUGAGUGAAUUGCAGACAAUCAAUUAAAAGGAGGGACAGGAAGUAACCAGAUCUUGGGAGAACACCUGCAAGUUUCAGCCAUAUGCCAAGGGUUGCCAGAAGACAGACAGAAUCAGUUCCAAGUCCUUCCCACCUCUCAGCUGUGAAUAGAAGUGAUAACCCUUCCCACUAAGAAAUGCAAAGAAGCACACGUGCCCCAUAAUCUGAAGACUUAUGGAAACACUGUGAGAUAGAGAUCCCUGAAGAGCCCCCCAUAUAAAGAACUGUAGAGCUGCACUGACCAGUAGGAUGCUCCAUUUUAAAUUGCCUGGAUCAAGAAUGCAGUAGCAGUUAUAUCACUGAUGGGCAGUGAUCCAUCUGCCAGCACAUAUUUUUAUUUCAGUUGACAUUAAAUAAUAUGUCUCUAACAAAUGCUUUAUAUAAAGGGAACAACUCUGAAGUUGGAGGAUUCGCUUCAUAAUGCGUGCAUAUAAAAGACAUUUCAUCAAGAGAUGAAGAAUGCUAAAAAUAUUAAGGUAUCAUUGCAACCUUUUGACAUUUUGAUGAAAUCGAAUCAUCCAAAAACUAUAAUCAGUGCUGCAGAAAGAAAGCCUAAAAUUUGUUUCUAGCAAGCCAACUAUUACUGUUUUUUGUGUUUUUUUUUUCAAUUAAGUAGUGGACUGUGUUUAAUCAUGAGAUAUAGUCGUGUUAUAUUCCAUGUUCUGGGUUAUGUGCAACUUUAUUUGUGAAGGUGUGUUUUGUACCAAAGGCUCUCAUACAUAGAUUAGCCCAUUUACAUAUAAAUAAGUGAAGUCUACACUGUGCCCAAAUGAAUGGUAUUAAAGACAGACUUGCCUAAAAGAAAUGUGCCUUGCUUGAUUAAACAUUCUUUUAUUUUUUAAUCAAAAUGAUAAAUUUGCAAAUUAGCCUUAUAGGUUUUAGCUGAGCUGAACUUGACAAAAAUGUGUUAGUACUUACUACAUGUUUUAAUAUUCUAUCUUAAUUAAAAUUGUAACAUUUAGUUAUACUUUCAACAGUUCAUAUAUAAUAUAUUCAUUUAAUUUUGUUUUCAUGGGAUGUUUGGUGUGGUGAGACAAAGCACAUUCUUAAAGAUAUAUAUAAUAUUUCAUCUAAUGUUUAUAGCUUUUCCUUCAAAAUUAUAUAUGUAAAAGUUUCCUUAACUCAUUUUCUAUUUUUAUAUUCUUUUAGAAAUGGAACUCUUUUUCAAUUAAAAAAAAGUUUUAGUUGGAAAAGAGAUUUAGGAGGUCAUGAAGAUGGCUUCCCAUUUGGGGACAUUUCACUUCUGUGCCAUUAAUGUAUUUACUGUGACAUUUCAGCAGAAUGGUAGCUAUUUGUAUAUUAUUUCAUAAGCCUUAUGGAAAGUCAAACUGUGAAAAUUUAUUAUAUAGAACCCUUUUUUAUUUCCAUAUUUUAGUUUCAAAAUAUACCUGAACAAAUGCAUAAAUAACCAAUCCUCUGUUAUUUAAAUAUAUAACCAUGCUAUGUUAUAAUAAGAGCACUUGUAGAAUUUUAGUAACUAUAAAAAUAUUUCAGUAGCAAAGCCAAGAUUAUAAAUGUUUUGAUCCCCUACAGAAUGGAGUAAAAGUGAUGAAUUGCAUUGUAUGAGAAUCAGUAACUAAAACAAUCUUAUACCUGCAGCGAAACAGAUAGAUAAAUAAGAGAUACAAUCUAGGUAACUUUCUUUGAGGCAAAGUCUACAAUGAAUGUCUCACAAUCUGCUGGUAAUUUCUUUGUGUCAAAAUUUUGAGACUAGAUCACUACAGGAAAAAAUGAAAGUCUAACAGCUAUCUCAGAUUUGAGCUAUGUGAACUUUUAGUCAAGAUGAUUUGUGAUUAAAGUGAAAAUUUAGCCACUGCCUUGUCUUUGUUCUAUGUUAGCCCAUUUAGUAGAGAUAUGGGCCUGGAGAAUAGUCAGUCCAUUGCAGCAAACAUAAUCCUUAUAACUAAUUAUCACAGCCUGGGUAACAGUAAAGUAAUGCACAUUAGCUACUGGGAUGAUUGAAACAAACUGAUCAACUGUGUUACAGGAGGUCUUAGAUAUUCAGAUGUUUUAGUAAGGAUCAGUAGGUGUUACAAAAAUAGACACAAAAACUACCUUUAUAAAACACGAAUGAAACAACUGUAUGCAUUAUAGUAUAUUUAAUAUCUGAAUUAUUAUUACAGGUUACAGUUUCAAAUAAAGACAAAACCUGGAUUUUUGUGAUAAAAGCACAGGAUGGUGUCAGAUGAGUAAACUGUUAUACUGAAUAUGAUUCACAGAAAGGAUAGUAAAAAUGCUACUGGUUUAGAUAACAGUAGACCAGAAUAUUUAUUCACUUUCUACCUGUGGGACCUUAGGUAAAUCUGUUACAUUACUAGGCUUCAGUUUGCAGGCUUGAAUUGCAAGAUGGGCGUGCUGGAUUCAAUGAUCUCCAAAGCCCUUACCAGUCCCCAAAUUCUCAUUAUACACAUUUGAGAAAUGCUUUGAAGAAAACAGGGCCGGGUGCGGUGGCUCAUGCCUGUAAUCCUAGCACUUUCGGAGGCCAAGGCAGGUGGAUCACAAGGUGUCAGGAGUUCGAGACCAGCCUGGCCAACAUAGUGAAACCCCAACUCCACUAAAAAUACAAAAAUUAGCUGGGCAUGGUGAUACAUGCCUGUAGUCCCAGCUACUGCUGAGGCUGAGGCAGGAGAACCGCUUGAACCCAGGAGGUGGAGGUUGCGGUGAGCCAAGAUCAUGCCACUGCACUCCAGCUUGGGCAACAGAGUGAGACUUUCUCUCAAAAAAAAAAAAAAAAAAAGAAAACUUAAGUACCCAGAUUUUCUUAUGCAGGAAAGAAACAUGAAGUAAGAUUUAAGCCUUGAAAGUAUCAUAAAUAUAUCAUUCUUCAAAUUGAUUGUGAUGAAAGGAAAUAGGAUUCUUUCUCCUUAGAAUUUUCACUGAUCUAUAAUGGGAUCAAAAAAGUAGAAAAAUCAGUCUGCAGAAUGAAAACAGAUUAAUGAAAUAGCUAGAAAGGAGGGGAGAGCAUUUGUUUAGUUAAAUGUUAAGGUAACUUGAAAAUUGUCUAUGAAAUGCUAAAACUGUACCAGAGCCUUAUUGCACACUCAACAUUUUAAGCCUGGGAGCAGGGGAAGGUGGGAAAAGGUUGGAGUGAUAGAAGUGUUUGCCUUAUGAUCUCUUGACUCCUUUUACACAAGAAGCAGAUUGGUAGAGCUUAAGCAGGUGUCUGUGCUGUGGUGCUGGCUCUGCCAAAAACUCUCAUAUGCCCUAGGAAAGUUCCUUUAACUUCUCUGAGCCCGAGUUUAUCUGUAAAGUGAAGACUUUUUAAAUUUAGUAAUCUGUAUGUCUCAUCUCUGAGAAUUCUAUAAUGUUUUCACAUUGUUAUAUGUGUAUAUGUACAUGUUGCUCCCCUCUAGUCACUAAGAUGCCACAUAUUUCUACUUGAGUGAACAGAUUGCAAGUCCAAAUGUUCUUGUUUCUAAUACUAAUAAUUGAUCUCAGCAAGACAUAAAAAAGUAAAAAAAAAAGUAAUCUUACCUUUUAUUUUGACCUUGGCUUUAAAUUAUUAUGAUUUAUCAUUUCAUCUUUGAAUGCUGAGUGAAUUACCUAAACAGAAUGUCUGUUCCAGUUAAUCUUCUCUUUAAAUUUUUGUAGUUUAAUAAACAUGUAACAAAUCAGAAGCAAGUAUAUCAUGCUUAUCGAUGAACUGUAGCAGAUUGUAAUGGUGCAUUUUUGUCACAUUAAAAAGUUAAUGUCCUUUUGGUCCCAGAAGCAAUUACUAUAAUUUAAAAUAAUAUUCACAAAAUUUUGUGAAUGUUUUUGAAUACAAAGGAGGCCUAAUACAGCCAUAUUGUAGUUCAUUUUGCUCAGGAGUGAGAAACAAAAUUCAGGGAUAACCCAAACAUGUCUGUUUGGCAAUAGUGGAUAGUUAGGUAAAGAAGGGUUAUAGCUUUUGCACAUCACAGAUAAGAGGCGACUAUACCUAUUGAAAAACAGCAGUAUAUUCUGGUUCUUGGUUUUAUGAUGGAAAGAUAUUAGAAUGAUACUAAAAUUUGGAUGCUUGGGAAAUUGAAUAAUACAGAAAUAUUUUGUCAUACUGAGAUUAUUUGUCCAGAAGUUUAGUCUUAUAUCCCUUCCAUUCAGAAAAGGGGGCAGUUUUUAAAGGCCUCUGUCAUAAAAGGAAAUGUAUAUUUUGACUAGUGGAGCAAUUAGUUAAAACAUUUAAUCUGAUCAUUUUGGUUUUAUGAAUCUGAAUUUUCACUUUAGGUGUAAUUGAGUCGCUUAUGUAUUACUGUGAUCUUUGUGAGAAGUGAUUUCGUCCAUUUUUUUAAAUCUGAUGAAACUUGAUAAAUGGUGAUUCUAGCAUAUUGUGUUAAUACUGUAUCUUACAACAAUUUGUGAACUGACCAUCAUAAACGAAUCAUAGUAGUAUCUCUUCUGGUAAGUUGUUUCUAUAUGUGAUCUCUUAAUGCUGGGUUUGGGGGUGGGGAUGGGGUUAAGUAUUUAGUUUACUUUAAACUGUCAAAGUGUUUUUCUUAAAUGCCAUAAAAUUGUAUGACUAUAAGCCAAAUAAGAAUAUUCUCUUUUUUCACUUUUAAGGGCACUGUAUAGACCAUUUUUGAAACUAUCCCACAGAAUGGUAUAAUUUCAGUUUAAAAGCUCUUACACACAUACACACACACAAAUAUAAAUAUAUAUAUAUACACAUUCAAGGGAAAGCAAACAGUGUAUGUAGUAUUUCUAAGUGACAUGCUACACGUUAUAAGAAUCUAUUUUUGAAAUCUUAUACAGAUUAUGCAGAAGUCAGAAUAACAAAUACAACACCUCAAUUUUUUUAUAGAGUCUAGCGUUAGUUUACUAUAAGAUUUGCUUACAUCAUACUUGCAAAGAUCAUUCACAUAAUUUAUUUAGCAUUGAAAAUCUUUAUAUGAAGUACUAAUGUCAUCUGAAGUUUAGAGAUUAAACAACCAAGGUUUAGAAAGAUCAAAUGACUAGUCCAAGAUAAUAUGGCCAAUAAAUGGCUCUAAACCUCCUAUGUUCUUUAUACUAUUCACUUUUUGUCAUGUUAUUUUUAUCCUGUCACUGCCAUUAUCUUUAAAACUUUGACAAAAAUUUAAUUUUAAAAGUUACAUUGGGAAUUUUCAGAUUUUAGUGCAAAGACAUUGUUGCUGUUCUUGUCAGACCUUUUCAGAUACCUCCAGACUAUAGCCCUUCCACAGGGUGAUAUUCAAACAUUUUCCACCUAAACAUAUAAGUUUGCACACCCUGACCACAGACACUGAAUUCACUUGAUGUCAGAAUGCUAGACUAAAAGUUGAUCUUCUUGACUGACAUUUCUAAUCUCCCUUUUUAAAAAUCCAUCAUAAGGACUGACUUCUGAACAGUUGAAUAAAGCAGUAAUCAAUCCAAGAAACUGCAUCCAUUCUGAUUCAGAGGAAAAAAAAAUCCAACCUAGUGACCAUUUUUCAGCAUACUGUAUUUCAUCACAUUUAUUCUGUGAUUAGUGGAGGACAGAGAAGAGGGACUGGGGAGAAAAACUGCCUUUAUUUUAAGAAAGCUCAUUUUCCUGUAACUAUUCAAAAAGAAUUGAUUAUCAAGUGUUAGAUAACAAUAUUACUAACAUUUAUCAUCAUUCAAAUAUUUAGUAAAAUUUCUCCAUAUAUUUAAAAUUUUACUUAAGAAUUUUCCCAGUUAAAAUAUGACUGCUUAGUUUGAAUAAGGAAGACAUUCCUUUCAAUUCAUGACACAAUAGUACAUUUUUAUUCUUUUCUCAGACAGCAGAGAGACACUGUUACUGCUUUCCCUUGUAAGUCAACAGUCUGUGAUACAUGCUGUACUUUUACUGAUUAGCAAUGCAAUGUUACUGUGAAUAUUUAACUAGAACUUAUUAUAUUGGAAUUUAAAAUUUUCUAACAUUGAAUUUAGUUCUCUUCAUCAAAUAAGCAAGCAUUAUUUUUAUGAAAUGAAAUAAUCAUUCUUAAGCAGUGAUGAUAAUGGAAUUCUGAAUACGAUGUAAAAUCAAACAUUCUAUUUUUUCUGUUUAUCCUUUGACAUUGAGUUGUUUUAAUUUAUUACAUAUUAUUAAGUUGAAAUAAGCUUUAUACCAUGUUCUCUGAUGUUCUUGUCAUAAUAAUUUUGGGUCUUUUGUUAAGUAAAUAUCAGAAAAUAUCUGUGAGUUUUGAUUAUGUGAUAUUUUCAUCUGAUUGAUUUUUUAAAUUUCUCAUUGGAUUUAAAGUGUUUUCUUUGCUAAUGUUAUAUACAGAAUUCAAUAAAAGACCAAAAAAA
rnacentral:lncRNA from 1 species